CGCCCUUCAGAGGGGGACAACAGUUGGAAACGACUGCUAAUACCGCAUACGAUCUGACCUCGGCAUCGAGGAUGGAUGAAAGGUGGCCUCUAUUUAUAAGCCAUCACUGAAGGAGGGGAUUGCGUCUGAUUAGCUAGUUGGAGGGGUAACGGCCCACCAAGGCGAUGAUCAGUAGCCGGUCUGAGAGGAUGAACGGCCACAUUGGGACUGAGACACGGCCCAG
rnacentral:rRNA from 1 species